rnacentral:rRNA from 1 species
CCUACGGGAGGCAGCAGUGGGGAAUAUUGCACAAUGGGGGAAAGCCUGAUGCAGCGACGCCGCGUGAGUGAAGAAGUACUUAGGUAUGUAAAGCUCUAUCAGCAGGGAAGAAAAUGACGGUACCUGAUUAAGAAGCGCCGGCUAACUACGUGCCAGCAGCCGCGGUAAUACGUAGGGGGCAAGCGUUAUCCGGAUUUACUGGGUUUAAAGGGAGCGUAGAGGGAAGCACAAGUCUGGGGUGAAAGGCCGGGGCUUAACCCCGGAACUGCUUUGGAAACUGUGCAGGUUGAGUGCAGGAGAGGUAGGUGGAAUUCCUGGUGUAGCGGUGAAAUGCGUAGAUAUUAGGAGGAACACCAGUGGCGAAGGCGGCUUACUGGACUGUAACUGACGUGGAGGCUCGAAAGCGUGGGGAGCAAACAGGAUUAGAUACCCCAGUAGUC